CCCCAUGGAUUCAGAUUCCGUGUAACAGAAAGGGCUGACCUCUCAAGAGACUCAAAGAAGCCCAUGCAUUCUGGUUGGAAUCGGUGCCUUCAGUCUCCAGCUGUGAAGUUGGGAAAACUGAAAGGCUCAUUGCUCAUCUGAGAAGAAAAAACAAUUUGCCCAGUCCACGCCCAAACCGGAGGAAUGCAUGAAAGGUCAAACAUCACUUGAAGGCCUCCAGGAG